AUCCCUGUGGUGUAACGGUAGCACAAAUGGUUUUGAUCCAUUUAGUUCAAGUUCGAAUCUUGGCGGGGAUACCA
rnacentral:tRNA from 1 species